rnacentral:misc_RNA from 1 species
AAAGUCGUAACAAGGUUUCCGUAGGUGAACCUGCGGAAGGAUCAUUACUGAUUUGGCGGACCGAGCGUCAGCGAGGUUCCGCGAUCGCCUGUAUUUAAAACCCACACUUGAAUUUAUGUAUAUUUUUGUAUUUUUAAAUGAUAAAAAAAAAGAUCACUUUCAACAACGGAUCUCUUGGCUCUC